rnacentral:rRNA from 1 species
AUUGAACGCUGGCGGCAGGCCUAACACAUGCAAGUCGAACGCGUGGCGGACGGGAGUGUAAUGUCUGGGAAACUGCCUGAUGGAGGGGGAACACUACUGGAAAGGGUAGCUAAUACCGCAUACUAUCAGAUGCGCCCAGAUGGGAUUAGCUAGUAGGUGGGGUAAAGGCUCACCUAGGCGACGAUCCAUAGCUGGUCUGAGAGGAUGACCAGCCACACUGGAACUGAGACACGGUCCAGACUCCUACGGGAGGCAGCAGUGGGGAAUAUUGCACAAUGGGCGCAAGCCUGAUGCAGCCAUGCCGCGUGUAUGAAGAAGGCCUUCGGGUUGUAAAGUACUUUCAGCGGGGAGGCGUUACCCGCAGAAGAAGCACCGGCUAACUCCGUGCCAGCCGCCGCGGUAAUUC